CCUCACUGGAUACUGAGUGGAUGAAUACAUUAACUGCUUUGCAGCACGUUGGCCUGGUUUAUUCCUGGUCAGGAACAUCAGCAUAUCUGCACCUCAGCCAGACUCUGGGAAAUCAGUGAACCACGUAAACCACAGCACCGUGGGGAGACUGAAGUGAGCUAAUGCUCAGCUCAUACAAACCACGUGGUGAUUGAAACUCAGGAAAAGAAACUGAUGACAGAGCCAGGUAAAACUGGCACAAUCCAGUGUAUUCGUGGAGUUAAACUCCUAUCUUCCAUGGCAAGCUUCUAAGAGCCUGGGCUCAACUCCAAAGAAAUUGGUCUCGAUUUAGUGAAGGGGCUUGGACGUGUGUGAAACCCAAAUGAAUGGGCAGCAGGACCAGGGCAAAUACAUUCGGAGCAUAUUGUGCAGAUGCUGCUGUAGCUGGAGAAAGGAAAGACAGUCUGAUUAACCUCAUUCCCUGAUAAAAAUCACACCAAACACUCUGAGAGAAGAGGAUAAACAUCCUACCUCAAAGUCUCAUUUUACCCACGUUGCCCUCCAAGUGCUUGAGAAGCCACAGAGGGACUGCACUUUGUCGAUAUCCCAACGGAAGGCUGAGGUUACCUCCAACACACCAGAAAUUUUUUUUAACACCUUCAGCUACAAAUCCUUUAUGGAAUUACAAACAAGAGAUUCUCUGGUUUCAAAAGGGUGGCAAAAAAGCAGACUCUCCUCCAGGACAUGGCUCAGUGGAUGGUAUAACCACCUUCCGAAGAGAGAGCCUGAAACACCAGCACCGUCUGUAACAGCUUUUCACCUUGCCAAGAGCAAGGCUGGGGGGGCAAAGAUAGUUUAGGUAGUGCUGUGCUGGUGUGCCCACCUUGCUGCUGAUACUCAAACGUGGCAGUUGAACACUGUAUCUCCCGUUACCCCAUUUUUAAUGCAGCUCGGGGGAGUUUUGUGUUAGAUUUCCAGUCCGGCUGAUGAGGGAAUUGAUGCUGGGCUUCUGUAAGAAAUGUGUCUUGUAACAGUACAGCAUGUUGAUGAAGUAACCAAAACAAUAUAAAACCACUGUGAAACACA